rnacentral:rRNA from 1 species
AGAGUUUGAUCCUAGCUCAGGGUGAAUGCUGGCGGCGUGGAUAAGUCAUGCAAGUCAAGGGGGCCCGCAAGGGCAACCGGCAGACGAGGUAGUAACACGUAGGUACAUCCCCCGAAGUCGGGCAUAGCCAUCCGAAAGGAUGGGUAAUUCCCGAUAGUCCCGAAAGGGUAAAGGUUUUUCGCUUCGGGAGCGGCCUGCGUAAUAUCAGCUAGUUGGUGAGGUAAUGGCUCACCAAGGCUACGACGUUUAGGGGGGCUGAGAGGCCGAUCCCCACCGAUGGAACUGCGACACGGUCCAUACUCCUACGGGAGGCUGCAGACGAGAAUAUUCCGCAAUGGACGAAAGUCUGACGGAGCGACGCCGCGUGAUGGAUGAAGUGCCUUGGUACGUAAACAUCUUUUAUCGGGGACGAAGUUUAUUGACGGUACCCGAUGAAUAAGGNNNNNNNNNAGAGGUGCAUGGAACUCAUGGUGGAGGGGUGAAAUCCGUUGAUAUCAUGGGGAACACCAAAGGCGAAGGCAAUGCACUGGUACGUUCCUGACGCUCAAACACGAAAGCCAGGGUAGCGAAUGGGAUUAGAUACCCCAGUAGUCCUGGCCCUCAACGUUGCUCGCUCGUUUUACGGAGUAUCGACCCUCUGUGAGACUAAGCUAACGCGGUAAGCGAGCCGCCUGGGUAGUACGAUCGCAAGAUUAAAACUCAAAGGAAUAGACGGGGACUUGCACAAGCGGUGGAUUAUGCGGCUUAAUUCGUCGACAAACGAAGAACCUUACCAAGAUUAGUUAUCCAGCUGCAUCCGACCUGAAAGGGACGGAGCCUUCGAGGGUGCUGGACAGGUGAUGCAUGGUCGUCGUCAGUUCGUGGUUUGAACUGUUCCCUUCAGUGGGGUAACGAACGCAACCCCCGUUGUCUGUUGCCUAUAUGGCCAGGCGAGACUGCUCCCUCACGGGAGAGGAAGGUGGGGAUGACGCCAGAUCAGCAUGUCCCUCUGAUAUCUUGGGCUGCACGCAUAAUACAAUGGUCGGUACAACGGGUUGCAAUGCCGCAAGGCGGAGCCAAUCCUUAUAAAACCGACCCCAGUACGGAUUGAGGUCUGCAACCGACCUCAUGAAGCCGGAAUCGCUAGUAAUCCCGGGUCAGCCAAACCGGGGUGAAUACGUUCUCAAGUCUUGUACUCACCGCCCGUCAAGUCAAGGGAGUUGGGGGUGCCCGAAGGACUGCCUUGCGCAGUACUACGGCAAAUUCAAUGACAAGGACUAAGUCGUAACAAGGCACGGGUAGCGGAAGCUGCUCGUG